GACGAACGCUGGCGGCGCGCCUAACACAUGCAAGUCGAACGGAGCUGAGAGAAGCUUGCUUUUCUUAGCUUAGUGGCGAACGGGUGAGUAACGCGUGAGUAACCUGCCCUGUAGUGGGGGACAACAGUUGGAAACGACUGCUAAUACCGCAUAAGCCCACGAUCCGGCAUCGGAUUGAGGGAAAAGGAUUUAUUCGCUUCAGGAUGGACUCGCGUCCAAUUAGCUAGUUGGUGAGGUAACGGCCCACCAAGGCGACGAUUGGUAGCCGGACUGAGAGGUUGAACGGCCACAUUGGGACUGAGACACGGCCCAGACUCCUACGGGAGGCAGCAGUGGGGGAUAUUGCACAAUGGGGGAAACCCUGAUGCAGCGACGCCGCGUGGAGGAAGAAGGUUUUCGGAUUGUAAACUCCUGUCGUUAGGGACGAUAAUGACGGUACCUAACAAGAAAGCACCGGCUAACUACGUG
rnacentral:rRNA from 1 species